rnacentral:tRNA from 1 species
AUCCAUGAUGGCCGAGAAUUAGGCACCGAGCUUUUAACUCGACUACAGUUAUCACUUCUGGAUA